GGAAUAUUGCGCAAUGGGGGAAACCCUGACGCAGCGACGCCACGUGGGUGAUGAAGGCCUUCGGGUCGUAAAGCCCUGUCGAGGGGAAAGAAUCGGUGGAGACCCAACACGUCUCCGCCCUGACGGUACCCCUAAAGGAAGCACCGGCUAACUCCGUGCCAGCAGCCGCGGUAAUACGGAGGGUGCGAGCGUUGUUCGGAACCACUGGGCGUAAAGCGCGUGUAGGCGGUUCGUUAAGUCCGGUGUGAAAGCCCGAGGCUCACCCUCGGAAGUGCAUUGGAAACUGGCGAGCUGGAGUCCCGGAGAGGAGGGUGGAAUUCCUGGUGUAGCGGUGAAAUGCGUAGAUAUCAGGAGGAGCACCGGCGGCGAAGGCGGCCCUCUGGACGGUGACUGACGCUGAGACGCGAAAGCGUGGGGAGCAAA
rnacentral:rRNA from 1 species